AUUGAACGCUGGCGGCAGGCCUAACACAUGCAAGUCGAGCGGAUGAAGGGAGCUUGCUCCUGGAUUCAGCGGCGGACGGGUGAGUAAUGCCUAGGAAUCUGCCUGGUAGUGGGGGAUAACGUCCGGAAACGGGCGCUAAUACCGCAUACGUCCUGAGGGAGAAAGUGGGGGAUCUUCGGACCUCACGCUAUCAGAUGAGCCUAGGUCGGAUUAGCUAGUUGGUGGGGUAAAGGCCUACCAAGGCGACGAUCCGUAACUGGUCUGAGAGGAUGAUCAGUCACACGGGAACUGAGACACGGUCCAGACUCCUACGGGAGGCAGCAGUGGGGAAUAUUGGACAAUGGGCGAAAGCCUGAUCCAGCCAUGCCGCGUGUGUGAAGAAGGUCUUCGGAUUGUAAAGCACUUUAAGUGGGGAGGAAGGGCAGUAAGUUAAUACCUUGCUGUUUUGACGUUAACAACAGAAUAAGCACCGGCUAACUUCGUG
rnacentral:rRNA from 1 species